UACAGAGGUGGCAAGCGUUGUUCGGAAUUACUGGGCGUAAAGGGUGCGUAGGCGGCGCCGUAAGUCAGGUGUGAAAUUUCGGAGCUUAACUCCGAAACUGCAUUUGAUACUGCGGUGCUUGAGGACUGGAGAGGAGACUGGAAUUUACGGUGUAGCAGUGAAAUGCGUAGAGAUCGUAAGGAAGACCAGUGGCGAAGGCGGGUCUCUGGACAGUUACUGACGCUGAGGCACGAAGGCCAGGGGAGCAAACGGG
rnacentral:rRNA from 1 species